rnacentral:lncRNA from 1 species
AUCCCAGUUUCACAUAUGCUUUGCUGAGUCUUGUUUUCUGUCAACUGUAAGUGAGCAUUAUGAAGCGGUUCCUUGUUCUGCCUUAUUGUGCCAACAUUAAUGACAAUAAAAAUCACGUCCUCCGGCUGCUCCCACGCUCAGAGACAACGACAACCAAGAUUACAUGAUGGCCCACAAUUAUACAGCGCAUCUCCAAUCAAACAUAAACCCUGGUCUGUGUGGAUUACUCAACGUCAAGCAAACCCUCCAGCAAACAAAUCUUCAUCCAGCUAACGUCAUACUCGAAUCUGUCCAGUCUUCCCCGUAUCCAGUCAGAGGUGUGUGCAUCGUCUUUCUGUCUUCCCUGCAAGUCAUCUGGUCUGUGCAUUCGGUCUUCAUGCAUCCUGCUAAGGAUAAGGACAAUAAUAUCAUCUCGGACUUCAUUCACAUAACCCUUAUCCUUCUGUUGCUCCGCUGUUAAAAUAAACAUUUAUUACUACUA